rnacentral:rRNA from 1 species
AGGAUGAACGCUAGCGGCAGGCCUAAUACAUGCAAGUCGAACGGUGUCUAGCAAUAGGCAUAGUGGCGCACGGGUGCGUAACACGUAACUAACCUACCCAGAACUGGGGGAUAGCCCGCCGAAAGGCGGAUUAAUACCGCAUAAUACACUUACCUGGCAUCAGGUGUUUGUUAAAGAUUUAUUGGUUUUGGAUGGGGUUGCGGGUCAUUAGCUAGUUGGUAAGGUAACGGCUUACCAAGGCGACGAUGACUAGGGGAGCUGAGAGGCUGGUCCCCCACACGGGCACUGAGAUACGGGCCCGACUCCUACGGGAGGCAGCAGUAGGGAAUAUUGGGCAAUGGGCGAGAGCCUGACCCAGCCAUGCCGCGUGCAGGAAGAAGGCUUUCUGAGUCGUAAACUGCUUUUGAUAGGGAAGAAUAAGGUGGUCGUGACCACUGAUGACGGUACCUACAGAAUAAGCACCGGCUAACUCCGUGCCAGCAGCCGCGGUAAUACGGAGGGUGCGAGCGUUGUCCGGAUUUAUUGGGUUUAAAGGGUGCGUAGGCGGCCGUUUAAGUCUGGGGUGAAAGCCCGUUGCUCAACAACGGAACUGCCCUGGAUACUGGAUGGCUUGAGUACAGACGAGGUUGG